rnacentral:rRNA from 1 species
AGAGUUUGAUCCUGGCUUAGGAUGAACGCUAGCUACAGGCUUAACACAUGCAAGUCGAGGGGCAGCAUUGGAGUAGCAAUACUCAGAUGGCGACCGGCGCACGGGUGAGUAACACGUAUCCAACCUGCCGCUUACUCGGGGAUAGCCUUUCGAAAGAAAGAUUAAUACCCGAUGGUAUAAAGAGUUCGCAUGUUCUCUUUAUUAAAGAAUUUCGGUAAGCGAUGGGGAUGCGUUCCAUUAGAUUGUUGGCGGGGUAACGGCCCACCAAGUCUACGAUGGAUAGGGGUUCUGAGAGGAAGGUCCCCCACAUUGGAACUGAGACACGGUCCAAACUCCUACGGGAGGCAGCAGUGAGGAAUAUUGGUCAAUGGACGAGAGUCUGAACCAGCCAAAAGUAGCGUGAAGGAUGACUGCCCUAUGGGUUGUAAACUUCUUUUAUAAGGGAAUAAAGUGAGGGACGUGUCCCUUUUUGUAUGUACCUUAUGAAUAAGGAUCGGCUAACUCCGUGCCAGCCGCCGC